GCACUAGUAGCUCAACGUAAGAGCGCCGGUUUUGUAAACCGGCGGCCGGAGGUUAAACCCCUCCCUUCUGCU
rnacentral:tRNA from 1 species